rnacentral:rRNA from 1 species
AUGUUCAUCCUUUUCAGUUCAUCUUUGAAAUGUUGGUCCAUUUUCUUUCUGCAGGAUGCGUCAAAAAAAUCGAAGGCAGCAGCUCAAAAAGAUGAAAUUUGUAAGUCCAUUGCCAUGUUGAGGUCUGUUACCCUUCAACUUAUAGACAUAUAUACUCAGUUAUUGUCGAAAUCUAUCUCAUUGAAACCUACUGUACAAUCCAAAUUAUCAGUUUUUGUUCGAGUGGGAGUCAAAGAACAAAGCUCCAAUAUCCACUUAGAUAGCAGUGCUGGUCAUUUACAUCGCAAUCUGCACUUACUUGUGAUCAACAGAGACUGGCGUGAAUUUCCCCUAAAAUAG